GGGAGCGGGCUUGCUCGCGAAGAGGCCUUCAGAUUCAGCAUCUUCAUUGACUGAAUCACUACUUUCGCGAGCAAGCCCGCUCCC
rnacentral:antisense_RNA from 1 species